GCAAGGAAUCAGCCAGAUGAAAUGCUUGCAACUCUUACCAAAGGUAGUAUUGAGUGACAAACAUAAGGAUGAUGUGUUCAAAAUUACAGAUUUAGCUGAGCUUGAACAUCUAAGUGGAAGCCUUUGCAUUUUGGGUUUGGAAAAUAUUAAUGAUGCGACGGAGGCUUCAAAGGCUAAUUUAAAGGAUAAGAAGGACCUUACGAAACUAACUUUGAGGUGGAGCGAUGAUGCUGUUGAUGCUGAUAGUUCGCAAAAAGAAUUAGAUGUGCUUGACGCCCUUCGACCACAUACAAGCUUGAAGAGUCUGAAGAUUGAAAGUUAUAGAGGUACAACAUUCUCGAACUGGAUUGCAGAUGAUGCAUUUUCUAAUUUAGUAUCGAUUACUUUGGUAAAUUGUAAAAGCUGUUGUUAUUUACCACCACUUGGACAACUAGCUUCUCUCAAAAAUCUCACAAUUUAUGGAUGUGAUAGUGUGUAUUCAAUAGGUGAUGGGAUCGAUAGCAGUGGUCCUCUAUUCACUUGUUUAGAAAGUUUAUAUAUUUGGAAUAUGUUGAUGUGGAAAGAAUGGUCAUUUGGUACCGAAGCAAUUCUUCAAGAAGGUCAAGUGUUCCCUCUUCUAAAACAAGUUUGGCUGGGGAAUUGUCCCAAGCUUAAUGUUGGCUUACCUGGUUAUCUUCCAUCACUAGAAAGUCUCAGUAUCGGUGAUUGUGAAGAAAUGGAGUAUUUGCUUCCGAGAACUCAACAGACUGUCACAGCCCCACCCUUUCUUGGUGACGUAUCCAUAUCAGACUGUCCUGUGUUGGAGUCACUUCUAGAUUGGGGAUCACACUCCAAAGUAAAGGCACUUUCUCUAAGGAACUCAAAAGUGCUUUUUGAGAAUCGUAUUAAAUGGGAUCUACAGAAACUCUCAUGUUUGGAAUACAUAGAAAUUACAGGAUGGGAAGAUGAUUCGUUUCCCGACGAAGGGCUCCUUCCGAUCACUCUUGAGACAAUUGUGAUCGGAGAUUCUAGCAAACUUGAGACCCUAAAUGGAAAGGCUUUUCAACAACUAACAUCCCUUACUGAUUUAUCGAUUAGAAGCUGUAAAAGCCUCCGGUGCUUGCCAGAAGAAGGGCUGCCUACCUCUCUUACUGAUUUAUCAAUUAGUGGAUGUCCUUUGCUAAAUCAACGAUGUGAAAAAGGAGGAGAAGAUUGGCCUAAGAUUCAACACAUCACAAAAGUGGAAUUGGAUGAUAAACUUGUCAAUUAAAUCAUGCAGUGAUCUAUAUGUAUUCAGAUGAUCAAUGGGUCGGAUGAGUUGAAGGAAUGAACUAUAUCGAAUGGUUGUAAAGCUGAUGAUUUGGUUGAGUAUCUUUGUGGCCACGUAGAACUAUUGUGAUAAAUAAGUUAUGUUUUCACUUUGAUUGCCUUUGCUUGAGAAGUGAAGCUUUAAAACUCAUGAAGGCCAAUACAGGAAGAAGGAGAUCUUGUAUCUGAAAUCUGAAAUCUUUUUGAGAUAUUGAUGUCAGCUUCUUUUUAUUUAGUUUAAACCAUUCAACUUGUUGAAGGAAUUAUAAUCUCAUGGCCAAAAGAAGAAUCUGUGGUUGUGAAACACAAAAAAGCAUCUCCUCUUGAAUCAUGGUUUAAUAUAUAUAUAUAUAUAUGUAUAGCUUGAUCAUCGUUUUAGUACAUUUUCUUAUAAACAAGUUUCCUUUAAACAGAUUUUGAUUUUGACAUUGCCACCAAAAGCCAAAGAGAUGUGAAAGUGACAAACUUGAUAAACCACUGAAACAUGUAUUGAACCAGAGAUAUGAGUAGAUUCUAGGAUCAACUUUUACUCUGUUUUUGUUCAAUUGCAUAAUGUCACGUUUAUCAUUUGUUAAAAUUCAACCAUAAGAUACAAAAUUUUCAAAUUUGGCUCACCAUGGUUGUUUAUUAUCAGGUUAUGUUGAUUAGAAAGCCACAAUUGUGGUUUUAUAUGGAUAAUUUUUGGAUGCUAUGGCAUCGGAUUCAUAGCGUUUUUAGAUAUUAAACUUUUAUGAACGUAAUCUGCUCUAUAGGAUUUUAUGUUCAUUUUGUUCAUGUAUUUUAACUUGGUAUGCUAAACAAAUGAAUUUGUCUUU